rnacentral:rRNA from 1 species
UAUGUGGUUUAAUUCGUACGCAACGCGCAGAACCUUACCUGGUCUUGACAUCCCGGGAAGUCUUGUGGAAACACGAGAGUGCCUCGCAAGAGGAGCCUGGAGACAGGUGCUGCAUGGCUGUCGUCAGCUCGUGUCGUGAGAUGUUGGGUUAAGUCCGCAACGAGCGCAACCCCUACUCUUUAGUUGCCAUCAUUGAGUUGGGCACUCUAAAGAGACUGCCGGUGUCAAACCGGAGGAAGGUGGGGAUGACGUCAAGUCCUCAUGGCCUUUAUGACCAGGGCUACACACGUACUACAAUGGCCGGUACAAAGGGCAGCGACACAGCGAUGUGAAGCGAAUCCCGAAAAGCCGGUCUCAGUCCGGAUUGGAGUCUGCAACUCGACUCCAUGAAGUUGGAAUCGCUAGUAAUCGCGGAUCAGCACGCCCGCGGUCGAAUACGUUCCGGCCUU